rnacentral:rRNA from 1 species
AGAGUUUGAUCCUGGCUUAGGAUGAACGCUGGCGGCGUGCUUAACACAUGCAAGUCGAACGAGGGUUACCGGUUGAAAUUUCGAAUGGAAACGGGUAAUACCUAGUGGCGGACGGGUGAGUAACGCGUGGGGGAACCUGCCCCAUUCCGGGGGAUACCAGUUGGAAACGACUGUAAUACCGCAUAAGCGCACAGUACUGCAUGGUACGGUGUGAAAAAACCACGGUGGAAUGGGAUGGCCCCGCGUCUGAUUAGCCAGUUGGCAGGGUAACGGCCUACCAAAGCGACGAUCAGUAGCCGGCCUGAGAGGGCGACCGGCCACAUUGGGACUGAGACACGGCCCAAACUCCUACGGGAGGCAGCAGUGGGGAAUAUUGCACAAUGGGGGGAACCCUGAUGCAAGCGACGCCGCGUGAGUGAAGAAGUAUUUCGGUAUGUAAAGCUCUAUCAGCAGGGAAGAAGAUGACGGUACCUGCACAAGAAGCCCCGGCUAACUACGUGCCAGCCGCCGC